rnacentral:rRNA from 1 species
AUUGAACGCUGGCGGCAGGCCUAACACAUGCAAGUCGAGCGGAUGAAGGGAGCUUGCUCCUGGAUUCAGCGGCGGACGGGUGAGUAAUGCCUAGGAAUCUGCCUGGUAGUGGGGGAUAACGUCCGGAAACGGGCGCUAAUACCGCAUACGUCCUGAGGGAGAAAGUGGGGGAUCUUCGGACCUCACGCUAUCAGAUGAGCCUAGGUCGGAUUAGCUAGUUGGUGGGGUAAAGGCCUACCAAGGCGACGAUCCGUAACUGGUCUGAGAGGAUGAUCAGUCACACUGGAGCUGGGACACGGUCAAGGCGACUACGGGAGGCAGCAGUGGGGAAUGUUGGACAAUGGGCGAAAGCAUGAUACAGCCAGGCGAAGUGUGUGAAGAAGGUCUUCGGAGUGGAAAGAAGGUUAAGGGGGGGGGAAGGGCAGUAAGUUAAGACCAUGCUGGAUUGACGGUACCAACAGAAUAAGCACCGGCUAACUACGUG